rnacentral:rRNA from 1 species
AUUGAACGCUGGCGGCAUGCUUUACACAUGCAAGUCGAACGGUAACGCGGGGCAACCUGGCGACGAGUGGCGAACGGGUGAGUAAUGCAUCGGAACGUGCCCGGUAGUGGGGGAUAACUGCUCGAAAGAGCAGCUAAUACCGCAUACGACCUGAGGGUGAAAGGGGGGGAUCGCAAGACCUCUCGCUAUUGGAGCGGCCGAUGUCGGAUUAGCUAGUUGGUGGGGUAAGGGCCCACCAAGGCGACGAUCCGUAGCUGGUCUGAGAGGACGACCAGCCACACUGGGACUGCGCACCGGCCCAGACUCCUACGGGAGGCAGCAGUGGGGAAUUUUGGACAAUGGACGCAAGUCUGAUCCAGCCAUGCCGCGUGCGGGAAGAAGGCCUUCGGGUUGUAGACCGCUUUUGUCAGAGAAGAAAUCUUCUGGGUUAAUACCUCGGGAGGAUGACGGUAUCUGAAGAAUAAGCACCGGCUAACUACGUGCCAUCCGCCGCAGUAA